AUUUAAAGAUUUAAUAGAUAAUUUAUUUAUUUUGUUUUAAUUGAAAUAGCAUGGAUUUAUUAUUGUGAAAGAACUAAUUGAUUUAUUUAUAGUUAAUAGUAUAGUGAUAGAAUAUUUUAAGGUUUAAAUUAGAAGGUUUAAUUUGCCGUACCUUGGGUAUCAGGGUUUACUAAAAAAAGUUAUUUAUUUAGGUUUCUCGAAUUAUAAAGAGUUAUUUAAAUAUAGGAGUUAUUGUAUAAUAAAUAUCAUUAAUAUUUAAAUGGAAGUGAAAUGUUAGUCGUUUUAUAAUAUAUCUAGUUCCCUAAGAAAUAAGUUUAAUUUUCUGUUUUAAGUUAUUUGGAUUCAUUAGUAUUUAAAUAUAAAAGAUGGGAAUAGUCUAAGGGAUGAGCUUUGGAUUAGAAUUUUAUAAUGAUAAGUAAUUUAAAUAGUAAAUAGGAUUAGAAUUCUUUAUUUUUAAUUAGUAUGUUGUAAUUAACUAUUUUAUGGCAGUUAUUUAUAUAUUGUUUAAAUAAUCUAUUAGGGGGAGUUCUUUAAUUUUAUAAGAGCAGUUAUAAUGGUAAAAUUAGUAAAUUUGAAUGUAUAAGGAAUUAAGGUUAAAAGGUUAAAGUAAGGAACUCGGCAAAUAAAUUUUCCACCUGUUUAAUAAAAACAUGUCUUUUUGUUAAUAAUUUAAGGUUUAGCCUGCUCCAUGACAAAGUUAAAUAGCCGCAGUAUAUUGACUGUGCAAAGGUAGCAUAAUCAUUAGUUUUUUAAUUGAAAGCUGGAAUGAAGGGCUGGAUGAGAAAGUAACUGUCUCACUUUAAUUUUCAUUGAAUUUUAUUUUUAAGUCAAAAAGCUUAAAUUUAAUAGAAAGACGAGAAGACCCUAUAGAGUUUAAUAAAUAUUAGGUUUAAUUGCCUGAAGUUUUAAUUGUGAUUAUUAUUAAAUUUAUUUGGUUGGGGUGACAUAAGAAUUAAAUAAACUUCUUUUUUUCUAUACAUUAAUUUAUGAUUGGUUGAUCCUUGCUUUGGAUUAUAAGAACAAAUUACCUUAGGGAUAACAGCGUAAUCUUUUUGGAGAGUCCUAAUCAAUAAAAGGGAUUGCGACCUCGAUGUUGGAUUAAAGUUAAAUUUAGGUGCAGAAGCUUAAAUAUUGAGUCUGUUCGACUCUUGAAACUUUACAUGAUCUGAGUUUAAACCGGCGUGAGCCAGGUUGGUUUCUAUCUUUUAUAGUUAAAAUAUUUUAGUACGAAAGGACCAGAUAUUUGAAUAAUAUUUCUAAUGUUUGAAUAAAAUU
rnacentral:rRNA from 1 species